rnacentral:misc_RNA from 1 species
ACAAAUCAAUUAGGCCCCUGCCUGCUCCCUCAAAAGGGCCAGUGGGGAACACCUAAACAUUUGUGUGCACCAUAUCUGUCUUUGGCAGUUCGAGUGUCCCAGGUUGCGUAACUGCCCUGGGUACCUACCAAAGCAAACCUUCGGGAUUGCUGCGGUUGGGCUGCCGCAUUUUUUGAACAAACCCCUGUCGUUUUUUAAUAGCCUGAAAUUUUUUUGAUCUUCAAAGAUUAAAUUUAAAUA